UACGAAGGUGGCGAGCGUUGUUCGGAUUCACUGGGCAUAAAGGGCGCGUAGGCGGUGCCGUAAGCGGCGUGUGAAAUCCCAGGGCUCAACCCUGGGGCUGCGCGCCGGACUGCGGUGCUUGAGUGCGGGAGGGGGGUGUGGAACUCUAGGUGGAGCGGUGAAAUGCGUAGAUAUCUAGAGGAACACCGGUGGCGAAAGCGACACCCUGGUCCGCAACUGACGCUGAGGCGCGAAAGCGUGGGUAGCAAACAGG
rnacentral:rRNA from 1 species